UACGUAGGUGGCGAGCGUUAUCCGGAAUUAUUGGGCGUAAAGAGCGCGCAGGUGGUUGAUUAAGUCUGAUGUGAAAGCCCACGGCUUAACCGUGGAGGGUCAUUGGAAACUGGUCGACUUGAGUGCAAAUGAGGUAGGCGGAAUGCGUCGUGUAGCGGUGAAAUGCUUAGAUAUGACGCAGAACUCCGAUUGCGAAGGCAGCUUACUGGGAUGCAACUGACGCUGAGGCACGAAAGCGUGGGUAUCAAACAGGAUUA
rnacentral:rRNA from 1 species